AGCGAACGCUGGCGGCAGGCCUAACACAUGCAAGUCGAACGAACCUUUCGGGGUUAGUGGCGGACGGGUGAGUAACACGUGGGAACGUGCCUUUAGGUUCGGAAUAACUCAGGGAAACUUGUGCUAAUACCGAAUGUGCCCUUCGGGGGAAAGAUUAAUCGCCUUUAGAGCGGCCCGCGUCUGAUUAGCUAGUUGGUUGAGGUAAUGGCUCACCAAGGCGACGAUCAGUAGCUGGUCUGAGAGGAUGAUCAGCCACAUUGGGACUGAGACACGGCCCAAACUCCUACGGGAGGCAGCAGUGGGGAAUCUUGCGCAAUGUGCGAAGCCUGACGCAGCCAUGCCGCGUGAAUGAUGAAGGUCUUAGGAUUGUAAAAUUCUUUCACCGGGGACGAUAAUGACGGUACCCGGAGAAGAAGCCCCGGCUAACUUCGUG
rnacentral:rRNA from 1 species